AUCUUCCUCAGCCACAGCAGCAGAUCCACGGAGUGUCUGACGAUCCUCCUCAGUGACUGUCCUGUCUUCCCAGUCGAGCAAAUUUGACCAGGGCCUAUGAAGGGUGUGUGAGGUGGAGAGACUCGCAGCUACAUACACAUCGAGUCAAAUGUGAUGGCUCAUGGCUCCCAGCACUUGGGAAAGAGACCUGGGCUCUACAGAAGACCACGUCUUAAAUACAAACAAAAACUACACA
rnacentral:lncRNA from 1 species